rnacentral:rRNA from 1 species
UACAGAGGUCUCAAGCGUUGUUCGGAUUCAUUGGGCGUAAAGGGUGCGUAGGUGGCGUGGUAAGUCGGGUGUGAAAUUUCGGAGCUUAACUCCGAAACUGCAUUCGAUACUGCGGUGCUUGAGGACUGGAGAGGAGACUGGAAUUUACGGUGUAGCAGUGAAAUGCGUAGAGAUCGUAAGGAAGACCAGUGGCGAAGGCGGGUCUCUGGACAGUUCCUGACACUGAGGCACGAAGGCCAGGGGAGCAAACGGG